rfam:Prochlorococcus phage Syn33, complete genome.
GCCCGAAUAGCUCAGCGGUAGAGCACCUCCUUUACACGGAGAUUGUCGGGGGUUCGAUCCCCUCUUCGGGCA